UUCGGGGAGUCCUAUACGAGGUGUUGCAUGGCUUGCGUCAGCUCGUGUCGUGAGAUGUUCGGUUAAGUCCGCUAACGAGCGCAACCCUCGUCGUAUGUUAUAUGUGUCAUACGAGACUGCCGGUAAAAGCCGGAGGAAGGUGAGGAUGAUGUCAAGUCAGCAUGACCUUUAUAUCCAGGGCUACACACACGCUACAAUGGUCUGUACAAUGGGUAGCCAAGCCGCGAGGCGGAGCCAAUCCUGAAAGCAGGCCUCAGUUCAGAUUGCAGUCUGCAACUCGACUGCAUGAAGCCGGAGUUGCUAGUAACCGCAGGUCAGCAAUACUGCGGUGAAUACGUUCCCGGGUCUU
rnacentral:rRNA from 1 species